CAAAUACUCCCUCUGUCCGGAAAUACUUGUCAUCGAAAUGGAUAAAAGGAAAUGUAUCUAGACGUAUUUUAGUUUUAGAUACAUAUCUUUUUAUCCAUUUUGAUGACAAGUAUUUUCGGACGGAGGGAGUAGAAA
rnacentral:pre_miRNA from 1 species